GAUGAACGCUGGCGGCGUGCCUAAUACAUGCAAGUCGAGCGAACAGACGAGGAGCUUGCUCCUCUGACGUUAGCGGCGGACGGGUGAGUAACACGUGGAUAACCUACCUAUAAGACUGGGAUAACUUCGGGAAACCGGAGCUAAUACCGGAUAAUAUAUUGAACCGCAUGGUUCAAUAGUGAAAGACGGUUUUGCUGUCACUUAUGGAUGGAUCCGCGCCGCAUUAGCUAGUUGGUAAGGUAACGGCUUACCAAGGCAACGAUGCGUAGCCGACCUGAGAGGGUGAUCGGCCACACUGGAACUGAGACACGGUCCAGACUCCUACGGGAGGCAGCAGUAGGGAAUCUUCCGCAAAGGGCGAAAGCCUGACGGAGCAACGCCGCGUGAGUGAUGAAGGUCUUCGGAUCGUAAAACUCUGUUUUUAGGGAAGAACAAAUGUGUAAGUAACUAUGCACGUCUUGACGGUACCUAAUCAGAAAGCCACGGCUAACUACGUG
rnacentral:rRNA from 1 species